GACGAACGCUGGCGGCGCGCCUAACACAUGCAAGUCGAGCGAAGCGGCGAACGGGUGAGUAACGCGUGAGGAACCUGCCUCUCACAACGGGAUAGCCUCGGGAAACCGGGAUUAAUACCGUAUGGUGAGAGAGGUGCUCGCGUCUGAUUAGUUAGGUGUUGGGGUAACGGCCUACCAAGACGACGAUCAGUAACCGGCCUCGGAGGGGGAACGGUCACAUUGGAACUGAGAAACGGUGCAAACUUCUACUGGAGGCAGCAGUGGGGAAUCUUGCACAAUGGUGGGAUCCCUGAUGCAGCGACGCCGGGUGAGCGAUGAAGUUUUUCGGAUCGUGAGGCUCUGUCCUAUGGGAAGCGGUACCAUAGGAGGAAGCCCCGGCUAACUACGUGCCAGCAGCCGCGGUAAUAC
rnacentral:rRNA from 1 species